rnacentral:rRNA from 1 species
ACGCUGGCGGCGUGCCUAACACAUGCAAGUCGAACGAGGUCCAAGGAAGCUUGCUUCCUGAAGACCUAGUGGCGAACGGGUGAGUAACACGUGAGAAACCUGCCUCGGAGUGGGGAAUAACUCGGGGAAACUCGAGCUAAUACCGCAUACCUUCACAUGAUCGCAUGGUCGAGUGAAGAAAGAAUUUCGCUCUGAGAGGGUCUCGCGGCCUAUCAGCUUGUUGGUGGGGUAACGGCCUACCAAGGCAACGACGGGUAGCUGGUUUGAGAGAACGAUCAGCCACACUGGGACUGAGACACGGCCCAGACUCCUACGGGAGGCAGCAGUGGGGAAUCUUGCGCAAUGGGCGAAAGCCUGACGCAGCAACGCCGCGUGCGGGAUGACGGCCUUCGUGGUUGUAAACCGCUUUCAGCAGGGACGAAAAUGACGGUACCUGCAGAAGAAGCCCCGGCUAACUACGUG